rnacentral:rRNA from 1 species
UUCGGGAUGCGAGUACAGCGGCGAACGGGUUGAGUACACGUAAGCAACCUGCCCCUAAAUCCGGGAUUAGGCUGCGAACGCGGGGCUAAUACCGGAUGUGGUUGACAGGUCGCAUGAUUUUUCCAUUACAGGUGACCUCUUCUUGANAGUUACUGUNUAGGGAUGGGCUUGCGGACCAUUAGCUUGUUGGUGAGGUAACGGCUCACCAAGGCUGCGAUGGUUAGCCGACCUGAGAGGGUGAUCGGCCACAUUGGGACUGAGAGACGGCCCAGACUCCUACGGGAGGCAGCAGUAGGGAAUUUUGCGCAAUGGACGAAAGUCUGACGCAGCAACGCCGCGUGAGGGAUGAAGGCCUUCGGGUUGUAAACCUCUGUUGAGUGAGAAGAAAAGCAUGCGGGAUAAUACUCCGCGUGUCUGACGGUAUCACUCGAGGAAGCCCCGGCUAACUACGUGCCAGCAGCCGCGGUAAUACGUAGGGGGCAAGCGUUGUUCGGAAUUACUGGGUGUAAAGGGAGCGUAGGUGGAAAGGUAAGUUAGGAGUGAAAGAUACGGGCUUAACCCGUAGUCCGCUUUUAAUACUGUCUUUCUUGAGUAUGGGAGAGGAUGACGGAAUUCCUGGUGUAGCGGUGGAAUGCGUAGAUAUCAGGAAGAACACCGGUUGCGAAGGCGGUCAUCUGGCCCAGUACUGACGCUGAGGCUCGAAAGCUGAGGGAGCGAACAGGAUUAGAUACCCUGGUAGUCCCCAGCCGUAAACGAUGGACACUAGAUGCUGGAAGAGUCAAUCCUUUCAGUGUCGUAGCUAACGCGUUAAGUGUCC